rnacentral:piRNA from 1 species
UGAUGAAUCCUCUGAAGACACUCUGGUAC